CCUACGGGGGGCAGCAGUGAGGAAUAUUGGUCAAUGGUCGGGAGACUGAACCAGCCAAGCCGCGUGAGGGAGGAAGGUACAGAGUAUCGUAAACCUCUUUUGUCAGGGAACAAAGACUGGGACGUGUCCCCGGAUGAGUGUACCUGAAGAAAAAGCAUCGGCUAACUCCGUGCCAGCAGCCGCGGUAAUACGGGGGAUGCGAGCGUUAUCCGGAUUUAUUGGGUUAAAGGGGUGCGCAGGCGGUCUGUUAAGUCAGCGGUCAAAGCCCGGGGCUCAACCCCGGCCCGCCGUUGAAACUGGCAGUCUUGAGUUGGAGAGAAGUAUGCGGAAUGCGCGGUGUAGCGGUGAAAUGCAUAGAUAUCGCGCAGAACUCCGAUUGCGAAGGCAGCAUGCCGGCUCCACACUGACGCUGAGGCACGAAAGCGUGGGUAUCGAACAGGAUUAGAUACCCUUGUAGUC
rnacentral:rRNA from 1 species